UUCUCGCCACGUGCAACUUUAGGCAGAGCGAUCUGUUGUUGCCGCACGGCACGAACUCAGCCAAGAGGAGAAGGCUGCAAAGAGGCACCAGAACCACUUAUGCCAAGAUGGAGACAUCAGUGAUGCCCUGAUCAGGCCCAACAGAGAGACCUGCUUGACAUGAAGCAGCGCUGAAGAUGUCGGAGGCAGAAGCUGCUGUAUGCCUGGCGAGGUUCUUUUCACAAGGUGAAGCCUACGGAAACUUUUGAGGAAGAUGCAACUCAAAGCGAAUAGGAGACAGAAGGAAGGAAUAGGAGACAGAUAGGAGGAAGAUGCAACUCAAAGCGAAUAGGAGACAGAAGCUGCUAAUGUAUCUUAGGGCAUCAAGAAACAGCCACAGUUGGCAGAUACAAACAAGAGGGAGACGGGAGCAGUGAGCUGGCAUUGAAGGGCUUGGUGCCGCUUUGCAGAGCGGCUGAAAUUCUUGCUUUCUAGAAGAGGAGGCAAAAAUAAAACUUGCUUCCUGUGU